rnacentral:rRNA from 1 species
AUGGCGGUGAGGGUAGAAGAUAAAGAUGAGAGGAUCUCAAGCCUUGCAAAACUCUUCUUCCAUGAGUUGUCAAAGAAAGGAAGCGAUCCAAUUUAUAAUCUUCUUCCUAAUAUUCGGAGUAGACUGUGCAAUCAACACCUCAAGGAAGAAAAAUUUCAUAGCAUCAUGCAAAUUCUUAAUUGGUUCUAUUAA